rnacentral:tRNA from 1 species
UAAGUAAAAAGCGAAAUAUUGCAUUCAGUUUCGGCCUGACCUUUGGUGUUAAAUCACCUUUACUUAA